ACGGCUUAUGCACCACCGGUAGCUAGUGCUGCCCGUUCAGUGCGGAUGGUUUAUGUCUGGCCCCCACAGAUGGCGCUCUCCGUUGAAGUUCGGUUCAUGCCGCUCGCUUAGUUUGCUGGAAAUCGUUACUCCGUUACAGUUAGGCGAGAGAUAAAGAGCCUGAUUAUGCUUUUGUGCCGCGAGAUGAGACGCGUCUGACCUCUGUACAUCCUCAGAGCCGCCCCUGCGGGUCAGCACCCCGCCGGCCGAUGACGUCAUCGACCCGCUGCGGUACGACAUCUCACCGCCGACGGACGACUCGCCCGACUCCCCGGACGGCGACACCCAGAGAGCGCCGGCCGGUGACGUGGGCUCGCUGACGGACGGCCGCGUACCCCUGCUCUACUGCUGUCGGCUGGUCGCUUCGCGCUACCUGCUCACGGGCCAGCCUAGCGGUCUCAGGCCCGACAGAGAAGUUCGCGUGAGCAUCAAGGUGCUCAGUGUGAACUGUAUUAGCGCUGCUGUCGCCCUGAUGCCCGACAUACUGAGGCUGCCUCUGCUGAUCGACAAGGACCCGGAAUCGGCCACCUGUCAGCACCUGCGGGACGUGUUCG
rnacentral:lncRNA from 1 species